rnacentral:rRNA from 1 species
GACGAACGCUGGCGGCGUGCCUAACACAUGCAAGUCGAACGGAGAUAUCAAUGAAGCUUGCGAUUUGAUAUUUUAGUGGCGGACGGGUGAGUAACGCGUGGGUAAUCUGCCCAUAAGUGGGGAACAACAGUUGGAAACGACUGCUAAUACCGCAUACGCUACCUUCGGGUAGGAAAGGUGGCCUCUGAAUAUGCUGCCGCUUAUGGAUGAGCCCGCGUCUGAUUAGCUAGUUGGUGGGUAACGGCCUACCAAGGCGACGAUCAGUAGCCGGCCUGAGAGGGUGAACGGCCACACUGGGACUGAGACACGGCCCAGACACCUACGGGUGGCA